ensembl:lncRNA
CUGGGAUUUUCAACGCUACCCCGGGGAGAGAAAUCCAUGGAGUGUGAGGAGGCAUGGAUAUGUGUUUCCCAGCUGUUUUCCUCCUUUCGGAAUUCCUCCUGGCUGAGAAAGAUUUAAAGCCCAGCAGAUUCGCCCUGCCUAAGAGGGAGGGAGAGAGGCAGUGUAUGGAGAUACCAUUGUGAUGGAAUCAGAGAGCCCAUCUGCACAAUGAACUCUGUCAUUUCCCAGGCUGAAAACUGAGGAAUGCAUUUUGAACGGGCCAUGGGUAUUCAUAUUUUGUGGCCACUUCCUCUUUGCGGGCUUUUGGGAUGUCUUUCAGCUUUCGUGAAAUGUUAUAUCAGAACCACUGUUGACUCUGUCAUCGAGUCGUCCACACACUGACAAGAGUGUUUUCCUUUGUGAAGAAGUUGGGUGGUGUGAUUUCUCAAACAGUUUUGAUUAAAAGAUGGAUGAAAUUCCCAUUGCGGUUGUUGCGAACACGUGGAAAUAGAAACAUGUGAAUGAUGGCGACAGUCUUUUUUUUGUCAUUUUUAUUUUGAUCUGAUACAAACUAACAAAACAAACAAAAAGAUACAUUUAAUUAAAUAUAUAUAUAUAUAUGUAUAUAUAUGGUGAAUGAAGACUUUCAGAGACCUUCCCUGCAGGAGCUCUGUGUGGGGAAAAGAUACGGGCAGGGUAUCCUGUGGUGGCUGACCCGUGGUACAUGGCUGCAGGGCACCCAAAGAGCAUCCAGCCUGGUCUUUAAAAACUACACAAGCAUUUGGACAGCCCAGACAGGAAAAAGACAAACUCUUUGUUCAUCGUCUCCUUGCCACACCUCAGAACUUUCAUCUUCCAGCAAUUCAGGAGACAUCGCUGCCUGUAGCAUAUGCUGUAAGGACACCUCUUUUCACCCACCAUAUGGACAGGCACACGCGGCUCUGAGGAUGGGACUUGCUCACCAGAAGCCAUGAAGAUGUCCUGGCAAUGGUGCUGUCCUACUUCUUCUCUUCACACUGCAAUGCUAUCCUGAUAGGAUUUGUUCCCUCCAAGAGAGCUGAAGCUGGAGAGUCAUCUACAUGCAACUCUUGUUGGCUGGGUCCUGCUCUUUAUGUGCUGCGCAGCAGAUGGGGAUACCAUUCUUUCCC